AUUGAACGCUGGCGGCAUGCUUUACACAUGCAAGUCGGACGGCAGCACAGAGAAGCUUGCUUCUUGGGUGGCGAGUGGCGAACGGGUGAGUAACAUAUCGGAACGUACCGAGCAGUGGGGGAUAACUAAUCGAAAGAUUAGCUAAUACCGCAUAUAUUCUGAGGAAGAAAGCAGGGGACCAUUUGGCCUUGCGCUGUUUGAGCGGCCGAUAUCUGAUUAGCUAGUUGGUGGGGUAAAGGCCUACCAAGGCGACGAUCAGUAGCGGGUCUGAGAGGAUGAUCCGCCACACUGGGACUGAGACACGGCCCAGACUCCUACGGGAGGCAGCAGUGGGGAAUUUUGGACAAUGGGCGCAAGCCUGAUCCAGCCAUGCCGCGUGUCUGAAGAAGGCCUUCGGGUUGUAAAGGACUUUUGUCAGGGAAGAAAAGGGCGGGGUUAAUACCCCUGUCUGAUGACGGACCUGAAGAAUAAG
rnacentral:rRNA from 1 species